GCUCCACAUCCAAGUAGCUUUAACUUAUGAAGUCCUGCAAAAAAGAUCAGGAGGGACAAUAUGACCAGGCUAGGAACUACUAUGGCUUCUCCUCAGGCUUCAGCAUGAAUAGGGUAUGCAAGGUUGAACAAAUUAUUGAUGUUAAUUAAAGUCUGAAUCAUACAGUUUUAUUGGAUAUUUGAGGUUUUGUAAAUGACCAAUUAAAAAUUAUAUACAAAAAUGUAGGAAAGGGGGCAAAAACUAUUCACAAUGAGAUUUGAGAGAAUAAAACUCCACCCAUUUCACAAAAGUCCACCCAGUUAUAAAUUUAUGGCCACACCACUGCUAAGCACAAAACAUUUUGUGUGGAUUUAUAAUGGCAUCAGAUUGGGUUCAGUCCUUAAUUUCUGUUAGCAACAUUUUAAGAAAAAAUUUAAUUUUAGCUGCUUGCCUCUUGAUACUGGAGAGGUUACUGGAAGCAGAAUUUCUGUGUCCCUGCAGUUGGUUUUGGAAUAGACUUUUUGCUGGAAUAUUCUUUGGCAUUCCCUUCUUCGCUUUAAUCUUGCUUUUCAAAGAAUCCGAGCUGCAUUGCAGCUUUUCCUGCUUUCUCAAAUUAAUUUUUCCAGGAAUGGCGUGGAUAAAUGUGCUGCUGUUUGAUGGGAAAUAUCUUUCAUGUGGAUUCACUACCUGGAAUGGAGUGUAUGUGCCCAUGGACACUAAUACUGUACAAAAGUGGUGCAAACCACCUGAUACGAAUAUAACAUCAAAUACAGAAAAGUUGGAAUUCACUCAAAAUAUUUUCAUGUACUCUCAGCUUGCAGCCUUUGUCUUAUUUAUUAUUAUCAUUUUGGCGGGAACAUGCAUCUAUAAUAACAGACAUGACUCCACCCAGUGCAAUGAAACGGAAACAGUUACUGUUAAAAUUAAAGACCCAGUGAAAGUGGAACACCUUCAACCAGCAUCAACCAGUACGACCCAACCAUGAACCUCUUUGCUUUCCAGUUGCUGAGUACUGUGUAUAAACGUGCUUCUCUGCUAAACAAAUAACUGCAUGAACAUGUUAUAUAUUUACCAGAUGAUGCUCAUUUAGAUUGCUUAGUACAACAUAAAUAUCUGUUAACAAACAGUAUGUAUAAGUUGCUUGGUUUAAGGCACAUCCUGUAUACACCCUGGGGUGUGGGACAUGAUCGAUUCAUCAUGCAAGAAGAAAAAUCAGAUGAAAUGUAAAAAUUGAAUCUUUCUUUAAUUUCUUUCUUUUAUACCGAUUUAAUGUUUCUUUUAUACUUCCCUGUUUAUUCUGGGAACCAGUACUGCUGGAUAUAGCAAAAGAGAAACGUUCCUGGUAGAACUUCAUUGGCAGUUUUUCAUCUCAGAUGUAUUACUUUGACUUUCUGGCAUUUCUGUUCCUAAAUUUGGUGUACAAAACAUUAAACUUACCUUUUAAACAUUG